GACGAACGCUGGCGGCGUGCUUAACACAUGCAAGUCGAACGGAAAGGCCCUGCUUGCAGGGUACUCGAGUGGCGAACGGGUGAGUAACACGUGGGUGAUCUGCCCUGCACUUCGGGAUAAGCUUGGGAAACUGGGUCUAAUACCGGAUAGGAGCCAUCUUUAGUGUGGUGGUUGGAAAGUUUUUUCGGUGUAGGAUGAGCUCGCGGCCUAUCAGCUUGUUGGUGGGGUAAUGGCCUACCAAGGCGGCGACGGGUAGCCGGCCUGAGAGGGUGUACGGCCACAUUGGGACUGAGAUACGGCCCAGACUCCUACGGGGGGCAGCAAUGGGGAAUAUUGCACAAUGGGCGCAAGCCUGAUGCAGCGACGCCGCGUGGGGGAUGAAGGCCUUCGGGUUGUAAACUCCUUUCGCUAGGGACGAAGCUUUGUUGUGACGGUACCUAGAUAAGAAGCACCGGCUAACUACGUG
rnacentral:rRNA from 1 species